GACGAACGCUGGCGGCGUGCCUAAUACAUGCAAGUCGAGCGAAAGGGCGCGAAGCUUGCUUCUCUCACGUUAGCGGCGGACGUGAGUGUAACACGUGUAACCCCUCCCUAUCAUACUGGGAUCAUUUCGGGACACCGGAGAUAAUCCCGGAUAAUCUUUUGAACCGCAUGGUUCAUAAGUAAGAGACGGUGUUGCUGUCACUACUCGCUGGUUCCGCGCUGCAUUGGCUAGUUGUUACGGUAACGGCUUACCACGGCAACGAUGCAUAGCCGACCUGAGAGGGUGAUCGGCGACAUUGGAGGGGGGACACGGACCAGACGCCUACGAGAGGCAGCAGUAGGGUAUCUGCCGCAAUGGGCGGAAGCCUGACGGAGCAAGGCCGCGUGAGUGAUGGAGGUCUUCGGAGCGUAAAACUCGGUUAUUAGUGAAGAACAGAUGUGUAAGUAAAUGUGGACAGCGUGACGGUACCUAAUCAGAAAGCCACGGCUAACUACGUG
rnacentral:rRNA from 1 species